UCUCCGUUGGUGAACCAGCGGAGGGAUCAUUACCGAGUGUAAAAACUCCCAAACCAUUGUGAACCUACCACUGUUGCUUCGGCGGCCUCGCCCCGGGCGCGUUCGCGCGGCCCGGACCCAGGCGUCCGCCGGAGGGUCUCCAAACUCUUGUUUUUUUAGGCAUCUCUGAGUAGCUUAUAAAUAAGUUAAAACUUUCAACAACGGAUCUCUUGGUUCUG
rnacentral:misc_RNA from 1 species